GACAAAGCUGCGGAGGAAAGAGGACAAGGUCAUGAGGUGCAGAGAUGGUGAAGAACCCACACCUCUCAACCUGCCCGCAGUGGCCCUUGUCAUUUAACUAAUGCCUCCAGAGCAAACAUCUUCUCAUCCUUUGAACUAUAAAGAGAACAAUCCAAUAUAGUCAAGCCAUUCUAACCUUCAGGACUGCUUUCUGGAUCAUACGUCUGCAGAGUUCCUUGUUGCUUAAAGGAGCAGGUUGACACCCAAGGGACCGGCCAGAAGGUAUAAAGCUCUUUGAAUUUAAUGGAGGUGCUCCUUUAAUGAUAUCUUGUUUAACAGCUAUGCUUCCAGCAACUUUAACCUCCUCAACUGUGAUUAAGUAUCGAUCACUUUCUAAAUCAUCUCCAGGUUUCACCUAAAUUUUAAAGAAUAUAUGUCAACAUCAUAUAUAAUUAUUCAAUUUUCUAUGUGUUCCAAUAAGCUUCUAGCACCAGCAAAGACACAAUGGAUAUUCAAUAGUUGUUGAACAAAUGAAUCAAUAACUAAAUUCUUUAUUACUAUGUACAGUUAACUAUCAACGAGCUUUAAAAAAUUCACUAAUUUGUUUAUUCAACAAUACACAUGAAGGACCCCAUGAGGACUUUUGUUACAUGCUAGAGAUACAAAGAUAAGCAAGAAAAUAUGCCUCCUCUCAAGGACUUCACUUAGAAUCCAUAAAACUUAACUGCAAUUUUUAUAAUUAGAACUAUUAAAUAAUCAGUCAUAUAUCUAUAAAUUAAUGUGAAUUAGAUACACACAUAAUUACUACAAAUUAUAAAUUGCUAUUUAAAUCAUAUUCAAAAAAAGCAUUUUUAAUCACUUUAAUAUAGUACUUGCCACCAUUUCUGACUGCAGCAUAAAAAUAAGAUUAUCAACCUGCACAAAAUCUGUAUUAUCACAGAUAAUGUGUUUAAUUUUUAGUCAUGAAAUAAUUUUAAAUGAAAUAAUAAUAGUAGUUGUUAACACCAACAAGCAUCUAUUAAAUUAGGGCUUUUCCUAGACCUUCUUUUCUUUGUGUGUGUGUGCUUCACUUUUUAUUUAUUUAUUACUCAAUGAAUUUAUUGCAUUUAUAGUUGUACAAUGAUCAUCGCAAUCCAAUUUUAUAGGAUUUCCAUCCCACGACCUUCUUUUGAUAAGUGUAAAAAUUUCACAUCUCUGAGUUCCUGUUGUGGCUCAGUGGAAAUUAAUCUGACUAGUAUCCAUGAGGACCCAGGUUCGAUCCCUAGCCUUGCUUAGCAGAUUAAGGAUCCAGCAUUGCCGUGAGCUGUGGUUUAGGUUGCAGACGUGGCUUGGAUCCUGUGUGGCUGUGGCAUAGGCCAGUGGCUACAGCUCUAACUGGACCCCUAGCCUGGGAACCUCUAUGUCAUGGG